UACGAAGGGGGCUAGCGUUGUUCGGAAUUACUGGGCGUAAAGCGCGCGCAGGCGGUCUUCCAAGUCAGUGGUAGAAGCCCGGAGCUCAACUCCGGAACUGCCAUUGAAACUGUUGGACUUGAGUACGAGAGAGGUGAGUGGAAUUCCCAGUGUAGAGGUGAAAUUCGUAGAUAUUCGCAAGAACACCAGUGGCGAAGGCGGCUCACUGGCCCGAUACUGACGCUGAGGCACGAAAGCGUGGGGAGCAAACAGG
rnacentral:rRNA from 1 species